AUUGAACGCUGGCGGCAUGCUUUACACAUGCAAGUCGAACGGCAGCGCGGGCUUCGGCCUGGCGGCGAGCGGCGAACGGGUGAGUAAUGCAUCCGAACGUGCCCAGUAGUGGGGGAUAGCCCGGCGAAAGCCGGAUUACUACCGCAUACGACCUGCCGCUGAAAGCGGGGGCCCGCAAGGCCUCGCCCUAUUGGAGUGGGCGAUGUCGGAUUAGCUAGUUGGUGGGGUAAAGGCUUACCAAGGCGACGCUCCGUAGCUGGUCUGAGAGGACGACCAGCCACACUGGGACUGAGACACGGCCCAGACUCCUACGGGAGGCAGCAGUGGGGAAUUUUGGACAAUGGGGGCAACCCUGAUCCAGCCAUGCCGCGUGCGGGAAGAAGGCCUUCGGGUUGUAAACCGCUUUUGUUCGGGAAGAAAUCCUCUGGGCUAAUACCCCGGGGGGAUGACGGUACCGGAAGAAUAAGCACCGGCUAACUACGUG
rnacentral:rRNA from 1 species